AGGCUCUUCGCUCUCUUAUCGGGGCCGUGCAUUCAGUCUCUGUAGCCUGAUCUCUUCCUCACUCUUCUGCUCUUACAGAAUGGAUUGGUCUGCUGAAAGACAGGGGCUAGAAGAGGGGCCGACUCUGGUGGGAAAGGGAGCACGUGAGAACAGUCAGCUCGGGAGGCCAGGAGACCCAGAGCUCAGCCCUGAAGCUGGCGGACCGGAGCUGCCAAUUCAGCAGAGUAUUACAAUUGGAAAAGUGCCUGAUGCUGGGAACGAUUGAGGGCAGGAGAAGAGGGCAUCAGAGGAUGAGACAGCUAGAUGGCAUCAUCGAUGCAAUGGACACGAACUUGGACAAACUUCAGGAGCUGGUGAGGGACAGAGUAGGGCUUGGCGAGCUCCAGUACAUGGGAUCGCAGAGUCGGACAUGACUGAGCGACUGAACAACAGUAUCUUU
ensembl:lncRNA